rnacentral:lncRNA from 1 species
UGAGCUGGAAAUUUCCCUCAUAUCAGAUUUGGCUGAGGUCGUGAUUAGAUAUGAAGAACUGAAUUGCUAUGGGACUCUCAACCUCCUUCCAGACCUGAACACCGAUAUCUGCAUUCUUCUGACCUGGGCUGGUUGUCUUAGGUUUCUGGCCAUAGUCUUCUGUCCUCUGGAAGCAGUCAUGCAUUAUCAAAGAAAGAGUUCUAAAAGACACAUGAAGAGACCCCU